UGAUGAAAUGAGAUCAAUAUGUUUAUAUUCUAAACUCAGCAUUUCUUUUUAUAGUUCAGUGCAACCCCUAAUUUGGGGAUGAGGGGGUUAAUUCUACCCUAAUUACCUAAUUGUCUACCCAUGCUGAAACGAGCAAAGCAGCAGCACUGCACUUGACUGUAAAGUGGUGGAGAUUUUGACUCUGCUGGCACAUUGGAAGGCUUUUGGACCAUUGUGCAAAUUAUAGUAUAAUGCAAUACUCUAGCAGAAGUAAUUAUACCCAGCCUCUAUAAGCCCGGAAUUGCACAGAAUAAAGUUGGGCUUUUUAAUUUGGUCACAUAUAAUGUACGAAACGCAGUUCUUCUGAAGCUAAUGGAACCAGAGGGAGCAUUAUGAUUACGACUCUCUUAAUAUAUUUUUCCAUUUAAAAACUGGGGUCAGACUUGAAUAGAGCAAAAGGAUGAAGUAUGAUUUAAGUGCUGGAGACUGGCGUAGAGGAUAAUACGAAGGCAAAAACACAGUUAGUGUAUGCUGAGAAGGAGAUCCAUGUCUUUAUCACAGCACAAUGAUAAAUACCAGGAGGCAGAGAAAUACAGCAUUCCUAGAGAAAAAGAAGGUUCUUUGAAGCUCUCCAUAUGUCCAGGGCAACCAGAAAACCUCCAAGUGGAAUACAGGUCAGAUUGUUUUAACAACACUGAUAAUCCCUGGCAACUCAUUUUGUACCAGGACUCUGGUCCCUGGCACCAGACCACCUGUGCAGAGGCAGCAGCACCCUGUCACCCCCAGGAUCAACAGGAAACGCCACCCCCAUGCGGGCCAAGGAGGAAGGUUUGGGCGAAGAGGCCCCUCCUCACACCUGGAAUAGCUAUGGUUGCUUUGCUUAGCCUACUUUUCAACACCAGAGUAGGCAAAGCACUGCUAUCUCUUAUGGCUGGAGGAUGUCGUUGUGCGUGCUCUCGUGGCGUGGCUUCUCCUAUGAACAGGAAAUAA
rnacentral:lncRNA from 1 species